rnacentral:rRNA from 1 species
UCCUACGGGAGGCAGCAGUGGGGAAUCUUCCGCAAUGGGCGCAAGCCUGACGGAGCAACGCCGCGUGAGUGAAGAAGGGUUUCGACUCGUAAAGCUCUGUUGUCGGGGACGAAUGUGGAGAUGGUGAAUAACCAUUUUCAAUGACGGUACCUGACGAGGAAGCCAACGGCUAACUACGUGC